UAUAAACAUUGGGGUGCAUGUACCCCUUCGAUUCUGUAUUUUUUAUUUUGGGGUAGAUACCUAGUAAUACGAUUUCUGGAUCAUAGGGUAGUUCUGUUUUUAACUUUUUGAGGAAACUCCAUACUGUUUUCCAGAGUGGCUGCACCAGUUUGCAUUCCUUCCAACAGU